rnacentral:rRNA from 1 species
GUGCUGCAUGGCCUGUCGUCAGCUCGUGUCGUGAGAUGUUGGGUUAAGUCCCGCAACGAGNGCAACCCUCGUCCUUAGUUGCUACCAUUUAGUUGGGCACUUUAAGGAAACUGCCGGUGAUAAGCCGGAGGAAGGUGGGGAUGACGUCAAGUCCUCAUGGCCCUUACAGGCUGGGCUACACACGUGCUACAAUGGCGAUGACAGUGGGCAGCGACCCCGCAAGGGUGAGCUAAUCUCCAAAAGUCGUCUCAGUUCGGAUUGUCCUCUGCAACUCGAGGGCAUGAAGGCGGAAUCGCUAGUAAUCGCGGAUCAGCAUGCCGCGGUGAAUACGUUCCCAGGCCUUGUACACACCGCCCGUCA